rnacentral:ncRNA from 1 species
ACUAAUAUUAAGUUUUUAGGUUUCUUUUGAAAUAAUAGGGAAGUUAGUGAAAGUCUAACACAGCCCCCGCUACUGUAAACACUACUUAUAAAUAUUAAUCCACUGAUUGCUUAUUGGGAAGGAAUUUAUAGGGUUUUAUGUGUAAGUCAGGAGACCUGCCUAAAAACAUAAUAAAUA